CUUUCCUGCACCCUCUGCAGGCCCCACACAGGCAGUUCCUACACCUCCCCUGACACAGUCUAUAGGAGCCAAGGCGGUUCCCUUUACCUGUGCCAGGCCCCCCUGAACUGCGCCUGUCCCUUCAAAGCCAUAGUCUAAAUCCUGGCUGUAGAAAGCAGAGCCCAUGGCUUCGAGCCACAGUGACACAAGAUGGCAGCCACCACGGGCUCAGGAGUAAAAGUCCCUCACAAUUUCCAACUGUUAGAAGAACUUGAAGAAGGCCAGAAAGGAGUAGGAGAUGGCACAGUUAGCUGGGGUCUAGAAGAUGAUGAAGACAUGACACAAGAUGGACAGGGAUGAUAAUUGAGCCUCCAAGAACAAUUUAUGAAACACAAAUAUACAGCCUUAAAAUAGAAUGUGGACCUAAAUACCCAAAAGCACCAUCCUUUGUAAGAUUUGUAACAAAAAUUAAUAUGAAUGGAGUUAAUAGUUCUAAUGGAGUGGUGGAUCCAAGAGCCAUAUCAGUGCUAGCAAAAUGGCAGAAUUCAUAUAGCAUCAAAGUUGUCCUGCAAGAGCUUCGGCGCCUAAUGAUGUCUAAAGAAAAUAUGAAACUCCCUCAGCCACCUGAAGGACAGUGUUACAGCAAUUAAUCAAAAGGAAAAACCACAGGCCCUUCCCCUUACCCCCAUUCGAUUUAAGCAGUCUUCAUUUUCCACAGUAGUAAAUUUUCUAGAUACGUCUUGUAGACCUCAAAGUACUGGAAAGGAAGCUCCCAUUCAAAGGCAGUUUAUCUUAAAAUACUGUAAAUGAUACUAAUUUUUUGUCCAUUUGAAAUAUAUAAGUUGUGCUAUAA